rnacentral:lncRNA from 1 species
AUGGAUUUGCACCUAAUAUGCUCUUUUUAGACUUAGUUUGGUAUUGAGCUCUAUCUAACGCUAUUAGAUAAAAUGGAGUUGAAAAAAAAACAUAUAGGGAUAUGUUUCUGCGUUUUUCGGGGGGACCGUAGAAAAUAUAUAUCGUAACUGACUGAUCGCGAUAUGCAGAAGACAAUAUUACGUAUAAAAAUAAAUAGAGUAUUUUUCAACAUACUUUCUCACCGUACGUAGCGUAAUCUUCUCGUAAUUCCAAACGAAGUCUUAAACUCUUUACAUUUACAUU